UAGUCUAUGACAACAUCAUAUUUACAACAUGCUGUAAAUGCUCGUUGUCAUCUCUAAUAUUCUACAACAUGCGCAGAAAGAGUGUUGUAUUAAAUUAUUUACCACUACAUGCGUCAUUUGCAUGUUGUUAAUUUCGUUAUCGAUAACUCAGUUUGCACGUUGUUGUCUACUUGUUGUCAAUUAAUGUAUCAACAAGUAGGAGUGCAUGUUGUUAAAUAUUUUCAAAACAACAACGUGCAGCUAACGCGGUCGAAACUUUGAGAUAAAAGAUUAAAAAAAAAGAAAAAACAAAAGGGCCUGUUGACUAAAGUCAGUAAAAAAAAGAAGCAUCAGCUCUCUAAAUCCAUCAUAGACCCAAAACAUAUAAAAUCCUGGGCUUGAAGAAUUGAGCUCUGAAGCUCUCAAUUCUCAAACCCUAAACCGCCCGAAACGAUCGCUUCCCUCCGUCGUCACUCUCAAUUGGAUCGACGACUUCACUAUGGAGCAAGACUGCUUGUCCGGCGUCGCCGCCGUCGAGCACGUCCUGCUUAGCCGACGGCAGGGUCGAGUUUGCCUUUGGCUGAGCUCCUCCAAUCCCUCCCGUAGUCCCAUACCUCCCAAGCGCCGCCCAGCGUCGGCUACGUCCUUACUAGUUCAUCCUCUGCCUCGGCUCCGUCGACCGCGCCACUGACUCCGCCGACCUCGGUUGUCAAUCUCUAAUGCAUUUCCGGCGUUACGGCUACGAAGUUUGAGGUACAGUUUCUGUCAAGAUGGAGAAACAAUGGCUGCAAUUUGAUAGAGAAAAGGAACAGACAAAGAAGAGGAAAAGAGGUGAUGAAGAACAGAAAAAGAAGGGGAAAAAGAAGAGGAGGAAGUGGACCAAUCAAUGCUCCAAGCAAUGAUCUUGAAAAUAGCAGAUGUGCACUUUUGAAUUGGAACAAUUAUGAAGAAGAUGAAGUGGUAGCUGAAGGAAUGAUCUCUUCAACAAAUCCAAGUACAAAAGUUCAUUGUGUGCCUCUUGGACGAAAUUGUUGGAAGGUUUGGGUUGAUGUGGUGUUUGAUGAGUAUCAGACUAUGGAAGUGUACAGAUUAACCAUGGAUGCCAAACAACUUGGUGAAGCUAUAGGAAGCACUCUUGCAUGGCCCAAAAGCUCCAUUGAAAUGCUUCCUUAGUAGUUGAAGUAGCAGGUACAUUUUGCUUUACUAGAGAAUUUAUGUAGGUCAGGAAGUACCAUGCAUGUUUUGUCAAUGCUGGUGAACAAAGAAUCCAGUACUUUGUCAUGCAUGUUUUGUAAAGAACAUAUGUAUAAGAGAAUGUGGCACUCCUAAUGAAAUGUAUAUUUUUCAUA